GCCUCCCGCCGGCCGGCGCCGCUGGGUCCGAGUAGAGCGUGCCGCAGGCCGCAGGCCGCCGAGCCCCCAGCCCACAAUCCACCGCGGCUGCCCGGCCUGGGAGCGCCGCCGCCGACGGAGGCCUGGCGCGGCCGGGGCACCUGCCGCGCAGUUCCCCGAGCGAGAACCACGCGUGGCUCCCUGCGCGUCCGCCGAUCGUGCUGCUCAGGAAGACGAGUCCUGCCCAAUUCCCCCGCCCGAGGUGCCCCGAAGCCGGCGCCCCGGGCUGGGAGCAGACCACCCCCCACCCCCCUCCGACCCCGCAGGCCAACCGCCUAGUCCCGGCGCCCUAGCCCUCUAAGCGCACGGCCGUUCGCCUCCACCUCUCCGCACUCCUUUCACCCGCUCAGAGCAAACACGGUUCAGUUUCCCACGUUAAGGCCUCUCGAAGCCGAAAGGUCAACCAGAAUAACCCAGUGGACUCAGAAAACAGUACUUCAGGCCUUUUCGAGGCUCGCCCAAGUUCCUGUCACGGUUCUCAGGCGCUUGAAUGAGGAAUUCCUGCUCUUUAAAGACUGAAAAACUUGGAGUCAAGCAGGCAGAAGUCCAUCACCUCUCCCACCCAAUCAGUUGACCUUAGCUGCAUGAAGGGGAGGAGCCUCUGCCAUAUUGAGCAUGGGGAACCAAACAACAAAUGGAGGAAGAGAUGUGGAACCCAUUUGGAAGACAUCAAGUACACCUGAAGAAACAAAGGCCA